CAACAAAAUUAUCACAAAAAAAUAUUCAUCAUCGGAAAUGUCGAAGGACAUGAUUUUCAACAUAUAAACGUCAGCGAUUCGCCGAUCGAUUGCACAAAAGUUUACAGAACUUCGGAAAACAAUAAUCGCUUAAAAUAUAAAAUAAAAAAAUGUCGAAAAUAAUUUUAUUAUUAUCAAUUUUCGUAUUGAUUGGUCUCUAUGCAGAUGCAGAUGCAGCAUGUCCAGGCGGAUGGUGUCAUCCAUCUCAGGGUUACGGCUGUUGUGCAGGUCAUCAAUGUAGCGAGCACUAUUUUGAAGGUACAUGUUUAACUGAUGCGGAAUAUGAAUCGCUGUCAAUAGACUUAGAGUGAGCAACAAGAAAAUAAUUAUGACAAUACAGUAAAGAUUUAAACAAAUAUAUUUUUUUAUUGAAUAAAAAUCUUUUAUUUUCAAAACUAAUUUUAAAGAAUAUGUUUUUAUUUACUGACAAUUUAAUGUUUUGUUUAUUAAUCGUAGUAGCUGUUAGUAGCACUUUUAGGAAAAUCUUGGUGUAAUAGUUAUUUAUGUACCUUGGGCGAAUCUCGCGCCAUUACGGUCGAGGUGAGUAAUGUUUGCAGCAGGGAUAGUAUAAAGCCGAAGUCAGUUAGGGCCAUUUAAAUAUAGUGGAAACCUAAACAUGCAAACCUCAAUAAGACAAUUUAUAGAUAAAUUGAGAAAAAUAUAGAUAAUAGCCCGAACUGGGAAUCGAACCCAGACCAAUUCGGUAUCGCGCCGAGUGCUCUACCAGUUGAGCUAUCCGGCACUAUACUAUAUUCCGCUAACUUUAAAUGCACGUUUUUUUGAGGUUAUGUUUACUGCGCAACGUGUUCGUUUUAGCGUGCGCCUCGGCGCUCGAGGGGAAUAUAUUGUAGGGGAAGUGCUGAUGGUGGGGAGGGAACCUUUAGGCAAUGGUCCUGUCCCGACGUGGAACCUUUAGACAGAAUCGACUGUAGCAGAUGGGGGUAAAAAUGUCGCACGAUCUGGCUGCACUGGUUGCAACACUUUUUCCUUGAACUAGAUGAACUCUAUAAAACUCGAUGUCACUAGUUAUCUAAGGCAACUAUUUUUUAGCGAUCCUGUUUUGCCCAACUCUGUUCUAUGUAUUUUUCAUAUUCGACUUCUGAUCUCAACCUCGAUACUUCGCGAUAACUUUGGGUCUUUUGUGGCAUUUAAAAAUCUUGUAAGACGUAACUCACAGCAAUUUUCCAUUUCUUUUUUUUUUUUACAAUGUAAUGUAUUUAUUAGUUUAUAAAGUUAAUUCUGCGUCUAAAAAUUAGUUAUCAUUUUCUAUGAUUAAUUAAAUGUAUUAAUGAUCGAAUGAAUGUUUACUUGUUGUGCAACAAAGUUAUCACAAAAAAAUAUUGAUAAACGGAAAUGUUGAAGGACACUAUUUUCAAUUUCAAUGUAUAUAAAAGUCAGCAAUCCACAGAUUGCUUAUACACAAGAUUACAGAACUUCAGAAAACAGUGAUCGGUAAAAAAUAGUUGCUGCUUACAUAUUUUUAAAUAUAACUUUUAUACUAUUGAAUCUAUGGAAAAAAUGUCUCAACAUAUAAAAUAAAAAAAUGUCGAAAAUAAUUUUAUUAUUAUCAAUCUUCGUGUUGAUUGGUCUCUAUGUUGGUGCAGAUGCAGCAUGUCCAGGCGGUUGGUGCCAUCCAUCUCAGGGUUACGGCUGUUGUGCAGGUCAUCAAUGCAGUUCGUAUCGUAUGCAAGGUACAUGUAUAACGGAUGCGGAAUAUAAAUAUCAAAUGUAUAGCGGAGUUUGAGCAGCAACAAAAUACAUAUGAUAAUACUGUACAGACUUGAAAAUUUAUUUUGUUGAUCAAUAAAUAUCUCUUAUUCACAAAACUAA